UACGUAGGUGGCAAGCGUUGUCCGGAAUUAUUGGGCGUAAAGCGCGCGCAGGCGGUUUCUUAAGUCUGAUGUGAAAGCCCACGGCUCAACCGUGGAGGGUCAUUGGAAACUGGGAGACUUGAGUGCAGAAGAGGAAAGUGGAAUUCCGGGUGUAGUGGUGGAAUACGUAGAUAUCCGGAGGAACACCAGCGGCGAAGGCGGCUUUCUGGUCUGAUACUGACGCUGAGGCGCGAAAGCGUGGGGAGCGAUCCGG
rnacentral:rRNA from 1 species